rnacentral:rRNA from 1 species
UAAAAGUCGUAACAAGGUUUCCGUAGGUGAACCUGCGGAAGGAUCAUUAGUGAAUAUAGGACGUCCAACUUAACUUGGAGUCCGAACUCUCACUUUCUAACCCUGUGCACUUGUUUGGGAUAGUAACUCUCGCAAGAGAGCGAACUCCUAUUCACUUAUAAACACAAAGUCUAUGAAUGUAUUAAAUUUUAUAACAAAAUAAAACUUUCAACAACGGAUCUCUUGGCUCUCGCAUCGAUGAAGAACGCAGCGAAAUGCGAUAAGUAAUGUGAAUUGCAGAAUUCAGUGAAUCAUCGAAUCUUUGAACGCACCUUGCGCUCCAUGGUAUUCCGUGGAGCAUGCCUGUUUGAGUGUCAUGAAUACUUCAACCCUCCUCUUUCUUAAUGAUUGAAGAGGUGUUUGGUUUCUGAGCGCUGCUGGCCUUUACGGUCUAGCUCGUUCGUAAUGCAUUAGCAUCCGCAAUCGAACUUCGGAUUGACUUGGCGUAAUAGACUAUUCGCUGAGGAAUUCUAGUCUUCGGAUUAGAGCCGGGUUGGGUUAAAGGAAGCUUCUAAUCAGAAUGUCUACAUUUUAAGAUUAGAUCUCAAAUCAGGUAGGACUACCCGCUGAACUUAAGCAUAUC